rnacentral:rRNA from 1 species
UAAUACGUAGGGUGCGAGCGUUAAUCGGAAUGACUGGGCGUAAAGGGUGCGCAGGCGGUGUGUUAAGACGGAUGUGAAAUCCCUGGGCUUAACCUGGGAAUGGCAUACGUGACUGACACACUAGAGGAUGGCAGAGGGAGGCGGAAUUCCACGUGUAGCAGUGAAAUGCGUAGAUAUGUGGAGGAACACCGAUGGCGAAGGCAACCUCCUGGGCCAAUCCUGACGCUCAGGCACGAAAGCGUGGGGAGCAAACAGGAUUAGAUACCCUGGUAGUCCACGCCCUAAACGAUGUCAACUAGUUGUCGGGGAAUUUUAUUCCUUGGUAACGAAGCUAACGCAUGAAGUUGACCGCCUGGGGAGUACGGUCGCAAGAUUA